rnacentral:lncRNA from 1 species
GCUUGGGAAGAGUACUACAAGAAAAUGGGUCAGGCAGUUCCUGCUCCGACUGGGGCUCCUCCAGGUGGUCAGCCAGAUUAUAGUGCAGCCUGGGCUGAGUAUUAUAGACAACAAGCAGCCUAUUAUGCCCAGACAAGUCCCCAGGGAAUGCCACAGCAUCCUCCAGCACCUCAGGUUUGAUCCAGCCAGUAUAGAACUAGCUCUGUAGGGGUGAGGAGGACUGUGCUGUGUAUCAUCCUUGAUUGUGUUCCUUCAAGGAGCAUUGCACUUGCCUUCCCAGACCUUCCACCUUAGGUUCUGCUGCAAAAAGCACCAGUGCUGAAGAUGCUGCAAGCACCAAAUCAUAGCUCAUAAAAUCAGGUCCUGAGAUAGUUACCCAUAAAGAGGAAUCCUUUGAGUGUAUGCCAUUGGUGAGCCGAUGAGCAUGGACCAUAGAAGGGCUCAAUGUAGAAGAAACUACCCGUGUGUAAAAAGAAGAUUGGCUUAAAAUGGCUACUGUGAUGGGAACAGUGUCUUAGGGAGAUGCAGCUUGGACUUGAGGUAAAUUGAAUACUUUACAACUGUGGUUUAGAGUUUGCUUUAAUGACAUUGUAUGUAAAAGGUCACAUGAUUGCUGUAAUUUUGUAUUCAUUAUGGUUUCCUCAAUAAAUGUACAUUGAUGACUAUUA